rnacentral:rRNA from 1 species
GACGAACGCUGGCGGCAUGCCUAAUACAUGCAAGUUGAACGAUGAUAUUCUCUGCUUGCAGAGACUUGAAGAGUAGCGAACGGGUGAGUAACACGUGGGGAACCUGCCCAUGAGAGGGGGAUAACAUUCGGAAACGGAUGCUAAUACCGCAUAAUGCUUUGGACCGCCUGGUCCAGAGACGAAAGACGGCUUUUGCUGUCACUCAUGGAUGGCCCCGCGCCGUAUUAGCUAGCUGGUGAGGUAAUGGCUCACCAAAGCUGUGAUACGUAGCCGACCUGAGAGGGUGAUCGGCCACACUGGGACUGAGACACGGCCCAGACUCCUACGGGAGGCAGCAGUAGGGAAUCUUCCACAAUGGGCGAAAGCCUGAUGGAGCAAUGCCGCGUGAAUGAAGAAGGUCUUCGGAUCGUAAAGUUCUGUUAUUAGAGAAGAACAAGUCAAGGAGUAACUGUCUUGACUUUGACGGUACCUAACCAGAAAGUCACGGCUAACUACGUG